AGAGUUUGAUCAUGGCUCAGGAUGAACGCUAGCUACAGGCUUAACACAUGCAAGUCGAGGGGCAGGCAUGUUGGUUGCUUGCAACCAAUGAUGGCGACCGGCGCACGGGUGAGUAACGCGUAUCCAACCUACCCUUGUCCAUCGGAUAACCCGUCGAAAGGCGGCCUAACACGAUAUGCGGUUCUCAGCAGGCAUCUAACGAGAACGAAAUGUGAAGGAGAAGGAUGGGGAUGCGUCUGAUUAGCUUGUUGGCGGGGUAACGGCCACCAAGGCACGAUCAGUAGGGGUUCUGAGAGGAAGGUCCCCCANAUUGGAACUGAGACACGGUCCAAACUCCUACGGGAGGCA
rnacentral:rRNA from 1 species